UGGGGAAUAUUGGACAAUGGGCGCAAGCCUGAUCCAGCAAUGCCGCGUGUGUGAAGAAGGCCUGCGGGUUGUAAAGCACUUUCAGUGGGGAAGAACGGAUGCGGGCCAAUACCCCGGAUCACUGACGUUACCCACAGAAGAAGCACCGGCUAACUCCGUGCCAGCAGCCGCGGUAAUACGGAGGGUGCAAGCGUUAAUCGGAAUCACUGGGCGUAAAGCGCACGUAGGCGGCCCGUUAAGUCAGAUGUGAAACCCCUGGGCUCAACCUGGGAAUGGCAUUUGAUACUAGCGGGCUCGAGUCUGAUAGAGGGGGGUGGAAUUCCAGGUGUAGCGGUGAAAUGCGUAGAUAUCUGGAGGAACACCGGUGGCGAAGGCGGCCCCCUGGAUCAUGACUGACGCUGAGGUGCGAAAGCGUGGGUAGCAAACAGG
rnacentral:rRNA from 1 species